rnacentral:rRNA from 1 species
AGUGAACGCUGGCGGUAGGCCUAACACAUGCAAGUCGAACGGCAGCACAGUAAGAGCUUGCUCUUACGGGUGGCGAGUGGCGGACGGGUGAGGAAUACAUCGGAAUCUACUUUUUCGUGGGGGAUAACGUAGGGAAACUUACGCUAAUACCGCAUACGACCUACGGGUGAAAGCAGGGGAUCUUCGGACCUUGCGCGAUUGAAUGAGCCGAUGUCGGAUUAGCUAGUUGGCGGGGUAAAGGCCCACCAAGGCGACGAUCCGUAGCUGGUCUGAGAGGAUGAUCAGCCACACUGGAACUGAGACACGGUCCAGACUCCUACGGGAGGCAGCAGUGGGGAAUAUUGGACAAUGGGCGCAAGCCUGAUCCAGCCAUACCGCGUGGGUGAAGAAGGCCUUCGGGUUGUAAAGCCCUUUUGUUGGGAAAGAAGAGCAGCAGGUUAAUACCCCGCUGUUCUGACGGUACCCAAAGAGUAAGCACCGGCUAACUUCGUG